rnacentral:rRNA from 1 species
GAUGAACGCUAGCGGCAGGCCUAACACAUGCAAGUCGAGGGGGAAGUUACUUUAGGGUGACUGAGACCGGCGUACGGGUGCGUAACGCGUAUACAAUCUGCCUUUCACUGGGGGAUAGCCCGAAGAAAUUUGGAUUAAUACCCCAUAGUAUAUAGGGACGGCAUCGUUUUUAUAUUAAAGCUUAGGUGGUGAAAGAUGAGUAUGCGUUCUAUUAGCUAGUUGGAGAGGUAACGGCUCCCCAAGGCGAUGAUAGAUAGGGGUUCUGAGAGGGAUGUCCCCCACACUGGUACUGAGAUACGGACCAGACUCCUACGGGAGGCAGCAGUGAGGAAUAUUGGACAAUGGUCGGAAGACUGAUCCAGCCAUGCCGCGUGCAGGAUGAAGGUCUUAUGGAUUGUAAACUGCUUUUGUAAGGGAAGAAUAAGGGCUACGCGUAGUUUGAUGACGGUACCUUACGAAUAAGCAUCGGCUAACUCCGUG